CUUUCUUUGCUGGCGACCGGCGCACGGGUGAGUAACACGUAUCCAACCUGCCGAUGACUCGGGGAUAGCCUUUCGAAAGAAAGAUUAAUACCCGAUGGCAUAGUUCUUCCGCAUGGUAGAACUAUUAAAGAAUUUCGGUCAUCGAUGGGGAUGCGUUCCAUUGGGUUGUUGGCGGGGUAACGGCCCACCAAGCCUUCGAUGGAUAGGGGUUCUGAGAGGAAGGUCCCCCACAUUGGAACUGAGACACGGUCCAAACUCCUACGGGAGGCAGCAUG
rnacentral:rRNA from 1 species